rnacentral:misc_RNA from 1 species
UAGCCCAAAGGUCCAAAG